GAUAAACGCUGGCGGCGUGCCUAAUACAUGCAAGUCGAGCGAACUGAGUGGUAGUCUUAGGACAGAAAUGAAGUGAGCGGCGAACGGGUGAGUAACACGUAGGUAACCUGCCCUCGAGAUUGGGAUAACAGUUGGAAACGACUGCUAAUACCGAAUAGGAACAGAUGAGGCAUCUCAUUAGUUUAAAAGGAGCUUUCGGGCUUCACUUGAGGAUGGCACUGCGGCGCAUUAGCUAGUUGGUGAGGUAAGGGCUCACCAAGGCGACGAUGCGUAGCCGACCUGAGAGGGUGAUCGGCCACACUGGGACUGAGACACGGCCCAGACUCCUACGGGAGGCAGCAGUAGGGAAUUUUCCACAAUGGACGAAAGUCUGAUGGAGCAACGCCGCGUGUGCGAAGAAGGCCUUCGGGUUGUAAAGCACUGUUGUAAGGGAAGAACAGGUGUGAGAGGAAAUGCUCAUGCUGUGACGGUACCUUACCAGAAAGCCACGGCUAACUACGUGCCAGCCGCCGCGGUAAUAC
rnacentral:rRNA from 1 species